rnacentral:rRNA from 1 species
CAAUAGCGUAUAUUAAAGUUGUUGCGGUUAAAAGCUCGUAGUUGGAUUUCUGUUGAGGUCGACCGGUGCACACCUCGUGUGUUAUUUGGUUCGGUCUCGGCAUCCUCCUGGGGAACGUGUCAGGACUUUAUUGGACUGCGCGAGAUUCAGGACUUUUACUUUGAGGAAAUUAGAGUGUUUAAAGCAGGCUUUUGCUAUGAAUACAUUAGCAUGGAAUAAUAAUCUAGGACUUCGGUUCUAUUUUGUUUGGUUUCUUAGUACUGAAGUAAUAGAUUGAUAGGGAGUAGUUGGGGGUGGCUAGUAUUGGCCGGCCACGAGGUGAAAUUACUUGGAUUCGGUCAAGACUAACUUAUUGCGAAAGCAUUCACCAAGGAUGUCUUCUUUAAUCAAGAACGAAAGUUAGGGGGAUCGAAGAUGAUUAGAUACCAU